rnacentral:rRNA from 1 species
CGAAUGCUGACAUAAGUAACGAUAAAGCGGGUGAAAAGCCCGCUCGCCGGAAGACCAAGGGUUCCUGUCCAACGUUAAUCGGGGCAGGGUGAGUCGACCCCUAAGGCGAGGCCGAAAGGCGUAGUCGAUGGGAAACAGGUUAAUAUUCCUGUACUUGGUGUUACUGCGAAGGGGGGACGGAGAAGGCUAUGUUGGCCGGGCGACGGUUGUCCCGGUUUAAGCGUGUAGGCUGGUUUUCCAGGCAAAUCCGGAAAAUCAAGGCUGAGGCGUGAUGACGAGGCACUACGGUGCUGAAGCAACAAAUGCCCUGCUUCCAGGAAAAGCCUCUAAGCAUCAGGUAACAUCAAAUCGUACCCCAAACCGACACAGGUGGUCAGGUAGAGAAUACCAAGGCGCUUGAGAGAACUCGGGUGAAGGAACUAGGCAAAAUGGUGCCGUAACUUCGGGAGAAGGCACGCUGAUAUGUAGGUGAAGUCCCUCGCGGAUGGAGCUGAAAUCAGUCGAAGAUACCAGCUGGCUGCAACUGUUUAUUAAAAACACAGCACUGUGCAAACACGAAAGUGGACGUAUACGGUGUGACGCCUGCCCGGUGCCGGAA